UACAGAGGGUGCGAGCGUUAAUCGGAAUUACUGGGCGUAAAGCGUGCGUAGACGGUUAUUUAAGUCGGGUGUGAAAGCCCCGGGCUCAACCUGGGAAUUGCAUUCGAGACUGAAUAGCUAGGGUACGGUAGAGGGAAGUGGAAUUUCCGGUGUAGCGGUGAAAUGCGUAGAUAUCAAGUGGAACACCAGUGGCGAAGGCGAGUCCCUGGACAACUCCUGACACUGAGGCACGAAAGCUAGGGGAGCAAACAGG
rnacentral:rRNA from 1 species